rnacentral:lncRNA from 1 species
CGGAUAUAGUUGGCAUGCCAUAGGAUUGGAAGUGUUCAGGGAUACUUCGACCUUGAGUCGAUGAGACAUUGGGUGUCAUACUGUUACUUCGGAUAGAUUCGAUGAGGUACUGGGUACCAACUUACUUCGGCUUUGCCGAUGAGACACUGGGUGUCAACUAUUGCUUCGAACUAUCCGAUGAGGCACUGGGUGCCGUACUGGUGUGUUUGGUUGGAUCCGUGUAUCCGCCAAAGUCCGAGUCAUGUUAAUAGGGGGAAAAUAAAAGAAUUGAAGUAAGAAAUGAUAUUGAAUUAUGAAUUAUGUGAAUAUUUGAUGGUAUAUGGAUUGGAAAUUAAAAGCAAUUUGAAUUGAAGUAAAUUGAUUUGAAAUAAGACAUUGAAUUGAGAUGUGAAAAUGGAAUGUGAGAAUUAUGGUUCAAGAAACAAAUAAUGAUAAAUUUUAUGAAAUAGUUUUUGGUAAUAUGAAAUGAUGUAAAAAUGACAAGUGAAAAUAAAAUGAUUUGAAAUAGUGAAAUAAUAUGUGAAUUUAAUUGAAUACAAGUUAUUGAAUUUUAUUUAUGGAUUUAAUGUGUAAAUUGAGUGUUAAAAGAUUAUAAGUGUAAAAUUGAAUAUAAAUAGAAAUGAUAAUGAAUGAGUUGAUGAAAUGAUUGAGUUUGUAUGGAUUGGAAUGAGUUAUUAGAAUGAGAUGUUGAAAAAUCCAAUAAAAUUUAGAUAGUGAAACAAGGUAUGAAUACAAUUAAAUAUAAGAUUGAAAUAUUCUUAUUGUUAUU